rnacentral:rRNA from 1 species
AGUAAAUUGGUUAAGUUAGAAAGGGCGCACGGUGGAUGCCUUGGCACUAGGAGCCGAAGAAGGACGGGACUAACACCGAUAUGCUUUGGGGAGCUGUACGUAAGCGUUGAUCCAGAGAUUUCCGAAUGGGGGAACCCACUAUCUUUAGUCGGAUAGUAUCCUUACGUGAAUACAUAGCGUGAGGAAGGCAGACCCAGGGA